rnacentral:rRNA from 1 species
GACGAACGCUGGCGGCGUGCUUAACACAUGCAAGUCGAACGGAAAGGCUCCAGCUUGCUGGAGUACUCGAGUUGCGAACGGGUGAGUAACACGUGGGUGAUCUGCCCUGCACUUCGGGAUAAGCCUGGGAAACUGGGUCUAAUACCGGAUAGGACCGCACUUUGGUGUGUGUGGUGGAAAGGUUUUUCUGGUGUGGGAUGAGCUCGCGGCCUAUCAGUUUGUUGGUGGGGUAAUGGCCUACCAAGACGGCGACGGGUAGCCGGCCUGGGAGGGUGGACGGUCACAUUGGGACUGAGAUACGGCCAAGACUCCUACGGGUGGCAGCAGUGGGGAAUAUUGCACAAUGGGGGAAACCCUGAUGCAGCGACGCCGCGUGGGGGAUGAAGGCCUUCGGGUUGUAAACUCCUUUCGCUAGGGACGAAGCUUUUUGUGACGGUACCUGGAGAAGAAGCACCGGCUAACUACGUG